AUACGUAGGGGGCGAGCGUUGUCCGGAAUGAUUGGGCGUAAAGGGCGCGUAGGCGGCCUGUUAAGUCUGGAGUGAAAGUCCUGUUUUUAAGAUGGGAAUUGCUUUGGAUACUGUCGGGCUUGAGUGCAGGAGAGGUAAGUGGAAUUCCCAGUGUAGCGGUGAAAUGCGUAGAGAUUGGGAGGAACACCAGUGGCGAAGGCGACUUACUGGACUGUAACUGACGCUGAGGCGCGAAAGUGUGGGGAGCAAACAGGAUUAGAUACCCUGGUAGUCCACACUGUAAACGAUGAAUGCUAGGUGUAGGGGGUAUCGACCCCUUCUGUGCCGCAGUCAACACAAUAAGCAUUCCGCCUGGGGAGUACGGCCGCAAGGUUGAAACUCAAAUGAAUUGACGGGG
rnacentral:rRNA from 1 species